AAAUGUGUAAAGAUCUGCUUUUGUUUCCUACACUCACCCACUCCAAACAUUAACCUCAUACCAACCUCCCACUGCCCAUGAGGGCCGCAGGAAGCCUCUACAACACAGAGCAGCUAAAGGAAGUGGAUAGGCUCUAGCUUGGGCCACAGGGUGGCCCCACAGUCUAUCCAGUGCACCCUGGGCAGCCAAUCAAGGAAACCAAGGCACUGUUCCACGCACUACGAACACCGCAGUGAACAGAACAGACAAAUCCUCUGCUCUAUUCAUUCAUUCAAUGAAAGCGAACAACAGUAAACAGUAGGUGGAAUCUAUGCUGUGUUGUACUGAGCAGAGACAGGACUGCAGCUGGUAAGCUUGUACAGCAUACUUACGGUGAGUCUGAACUGAACACAUUCCUUCCUGUGGCUGCUGCCCAGACGUUCUGACAUCUGAGACUGCAGUGGGGAGCUUGGUGAGAAUUCUACCUGCCCGUUUGCUUGGCCCUGUGCGGGUACCAAGUUAGGGGCAUGGCAGGCCCUCUUUCAUCCCAGUGGCACUCUGUGUACCAGAAAUGCCAAGCACCUCCUCUGCAUCCAGCACUGCCCCGUUUUCUCUGGUAGUGAAGCCUUUCCCUGGUUUUAUAGCCUUAGGUCAUUUCGGUGGGAGUUUAUGAGGCAGAAGAAUUAAACAAAUUCAUCUUGCCAUCUCCAACCUGAGUUCAAAUAAACAUGGUAACUGGUGGUCAAGAGAGGUAACUCCUAAGCCCUUGUGUUACUUUCCAUGAUUCCAGUUAUCUGAAAAGAUAGAGGAAAACCAUUCCAGAAAUAAAUAAUUCACUAAUGUUUUUUAUCAUAUCAUGCUAUAUUAUUAGUUAUUAUUGCUAAUUUCAGUGAGUUUAGUUUAAAUCAAACUUCAUCAUGGAUACUCAUACAUAGGAGAAAACAGAGUAGAUAUAGAGUUUAGUGCUACCCACUGUUUCUGGCCUUCAUGGGUGUCUCGGGACACAUCCCCUGGGGAACAGGAACUGUUAUAGACAGUUAUGUUGCCUUGGGGACAUUAAGAAGCUGGAGUUUGUCUGGGGACAUAUCUGUCAAGAAAGAAUGUGCUAAAGAAGGGUUCCAAAUGCCU